rnacentral:tRNA from 1 species
AAGAUUUUAGUUUAUAUAUAAAACGUUUAAUUUGCAAUUAAAAAAAAUUUUUAUUAUAAAUCUUU